CCUACGGGAGGCUGCAGUGAGGAAUAUUGGUCAAUGGACGAGAGUCUGAACCAGCCAAGUAGCGUGAAGGAUGACUGCCCUAUGGGUUGUAAACUUCUUUUAUAAAGGAAUAAAACGAGGCACGUGUGCCUUUUUGCAUGUACUUUAUGAAUAAGGAUCGGCUAACUCCGUGCCAGCAGCCGCGGUAAUACGGAGGAUCCGAGCGUUAUCCGGAUUUAUUGGGUUUAAAGGGAGCGUAGAUGGGUUGUUAAGUCAGUUGUGAAAGUUUGCGGCUCAACCGUAAAAUUGCAAUUGAUACUGGCAGUCUAGAGUACAGUUGAGGUAGGCGGAAUUCGUGGUGUAGCGGUGAAAUGCUUAGAUAUCACGAAGAACCCCGAUUGCGAAGGCAGCUUACUAAACUGUGACUGACAUUGAUGCUCGAAAGUGUGGGUAUCAAACAGGAUUAGAUACCCUAGUAGUC
rnacentral:rRNA from 1 species